rnacentral:rRNA from 1 species
GAUGAACGCUGGCGGCGUGCCUAAUACAUGCAAGUCGAGCGAACGGACGAGAAGCUUGCUUUUCUGAUGUUAGCGGCGGACGGGUGAGUAACACGUGGAUAACCUACCUAUAAGACUGGGAUAACUUCGGGAAACCGGAGCUAAUACCGGAUAAUAUUUUGAACCGCAUGGUUCAAAAGUGAAAGACGGUCUUGCUGUCACUUAUAGAUGGAUCCGCGCUGCAUUAGCUAGUUGGUAAGGUAACGGCUUACCAAGGCAACGAUGCAUAGCCGACCUGAGAGGGUGAUAGGCCACACUGGAACUGAGACACGGUCCAGACGCCUACGGGAGGCAGCAGUAGGGAAUCUUCCGCAAUGGGCGAAAGCCUGACGGAGCAACGCCGCGUGAGUGAUGAAGGUGUUCGGAUCGUAAAACUCUGUUAUUAGGGAAGAACAUAUGUGUAAGUAACUGUGCACAGCGUGACGGUACCGAAUCAGAAAGCCACGGCUAACUACGUG